AGAUCUCUUACAGUUAGUUUCGUUCUUAAUCCAAACUACUGCAGCCUGACAGACAAAUGAGGAUGCAAACAAUUUUAAAGUUUAUCUAACGCUAGCUGUUUUGUUUCUUCUCUCUGGUGCACCAACGACGGCGUUUUCUCAAUCAUAAAGAGGCUUGUUUUACUUAAGGCCAAUAAUGUUGAUGGAUCGAAAGAAGAGGGCUUUUAAUAAACGAGCCCGUUUAAGCUGUAAACGAUGUCAAAAACAUCCCACAUCGUUCAGUUGAAAAUAGAAGCUCUGUUUAUAUAUUGGUAGAGUCGACUAAGAGAUUGUCCCUUCGGGGACAUCUGAUAAAAUUGGAACGAUACAGAGAAGAUUAGCAUGGCCCCUGCGCAAGGAUGACACGCAUAAAUCGAGAAAUGGUCCAAAUUUUUUUGGAUAGAAUUUCCCAGCUUUUUUGCGUGUUUCAGCUCUCAUGAUCCUUGGCCAAUGGGUGUAGUAAAUUUUCUGCACAUUCAUUGGAUGGAAAAUAAUGGUUUUAGCUUUAGGGAAUAAGAAAAGUGUAUAGGAAGGGGAUUUUUGUACAAUCACAUUUGAAUUAGGUCUUUGAAAUGACAGGGAAUGAGGACAUAUGAUGAAGCUCUGUCCCAUCCAAGAAGUUGGCCAGUGUUCUUGUCUCAGAUUGUGGUUUGGCCCUCACAUAAACAGCUUCAUAACCUUUUGGGUGGAGGGUUAACUUGAUUUUGCAGCAAAGAAGAGGCUUUUCCUUUAUGUAUUAGGUUGCUUGUGAAUUGGCCCUUGAGGAGAAGAACGUUAAUCUAAAAAUCUAUAUCAGUUAUUUUUACUCAACUAUAUGAAACGAUAUAUUCGAGAUUUAUGUAGUAAACACAUAAUCCAACCAUAAACUCAUGGGACAUUUAUAUGCCAAGCUUU